rnacentral:rRNA from 1 species
AAAUUGAAGAGUUUGAUCAUGGCUCAGAUUGAACGCUGGCGGCAGGCCUAACACAUGCAAGUCGAACGGUAACAGGAAGCAGCUUGCUGCUUAGCUGACGAGUGGCGGACGGGUGAGUAAUGUCUGGGAAACUGCCUGAUGGAGGGGGAUAACUACUGGAAACGGUAGCUAAUACCGCAUAACGUCGCAAGACCAAAGAGGGGGACCUUCGGGCCUCUUGCCAUCGGAUGUGCCCAGAUGGGAUUAGCUUGUUGGUGGGGUAACGGCUCACCAAGGCGACGAUCCCUAGCUGGUCUGAGAGGAUGACCAGCCACACUGGAACUGAGACACGGUCCAGACUCCUACGGGAGGCAGCAGUGGGGAAUAUUGCACAAUGGGCGCAAGCCUGAUGCAGCCAUGCCGCGUGUAUGAAGAAGGCCUUCGGGUUGUAAAGUACUUUCAGCGGGGAGGAAGGGAGUAAAGUUAAUACCUUU